rnacentral:lncRNA from 1 species
CCAUUCACUUUAGCUCCUCAGCACAUUGCUACUCCACAAUUUUCAAGGUUAACAAGAAAAUGGAGAAUCUUCACUUGGUAGUCUGGACUAUUCCCCUAUGCAUAGGGCAAAAGGCUCUAAAAGGCCUACCGACAUACUAAGCUACAGUGUACCAACGGCUGUAGAGUGUGCUUUAUUUAAACCUCUUAUUUCCCAAAUGCAUUGAAGUUGCCACUGUACAUGUUAAGCAAUAAAGAAAAGUUAGUGAAAAUCAUGCAUUUUAAAACAAAUUAAUUUUAAGCAUUGUUAAUAAGAUUGUGCUGCAGCGAUGAAGUAUCCUGAACUGCAGGCCAGGUAUCCAAAUAUUUGUUACAUGUUGUUCAAAUAUCACUUUGAAGUGGUACUUCCUUAUUACUGUUGUUUGCAUUCAGCAGGUUGGCUGGAAUCUUUCUAGAAAUGUAUGAAUGAUAAACAGACUUAAAUUACACCUUAGGAUCACUUUCUGCAUCUUCCUCCUCUUCUCCCUCCUCUUCCCCCUCCAACUCCUCCUCUUCACCUUCUUCACCUUCUUCAAAAUUAUCAUCAUCCUCUAUAGCUUCCCCUGUGAAAUAGAGCACAGCACGAGGGACUAUCCUUUCACGGAAGAAGUGACCAAUUUCAAAAUCUGCAGCUAAAGUGAACUCUGAAUCUUCAUCCAAUGACUCUCCAUCACCAGAUACCUUUAUUGGAUUGAAGAAGUUAAAAAAAGAAUCAUUAGGUACUUGUUUAGUAAUUGUCCGAACCGUGCCUCGACCCUUGUGUUUCUGUUUUUUCUUGAUUGUUUUAACUGUAACAUUCUUUCCUUUCUUCCAGUCAAUAGUGCACCCAUCACAAUCAACUAUUUCAGGUCCUUCAAAUGAAAACGGAUCUGUCUUGUCUGGCUCUGACUUCAUCUUGUAGGUUUUUGUCAGGACUGUAUUAGAAAAGUAGUCGUUGGGCCCAAAGUGGAACUCUAAUGAGAAAGACAUAGGCUGUCCAGGUUCAGAAAACUUCACUUUGAUAUCCUGUAGGUGUUUCAAGAUUGGUUCAUCAUAUUCUUGUACUAAUUCACUUAGCAUAUCUACAUUCCUAAAGAUAGUAAACCAGAAGUCUGGAAUUCCUUUGACAUUUAUCUCUUCUGCUUCCGCUUUUUCUUCUAUUACCACUACAUUUUUCAGGUCUCCUGCUAGCUUUUCCUCCUCCUCAUUUUCACUGUGCCAUUCUGACUCUGCAUCUGUAGGUUCUGCUUCUCCAUUAAUAAACUCUCUCCUCUUAUCAAAAAGAGGUUGAUAGAGUGCUGCAUAUUUUCUCUCUAAAUCAUGUACUUCUUCAUAAAAUUUAGCUUCUAUGUGGGCACAUUUCACCUGGAGUUGUUUCAAGGCAUCAAUUCUUCUUUUCACUGCUUUUGGUAAAGUUUCAAUGUAACUUGAAGGGGUAAGUGCUGUGUUGUCAAGCCGUUCCUGUAGAGCUGCCAGGACUUGUGGAUUCUGCAUCACCUGGUCUGCCAGCUUUUCUUUUUUGUCACUUGCAUUUUUAGCAGCCUCCACAGAAUCUGAAGCAGUAUCUUCUGCUUUACUAGAACUGUUAUCUGCCAUCUGCCUGCCUGUAUCCACUUUAAGACCGGUCUGUCUCUUCAAAGUUUUUCUUUCAGUCCCCCGCCGGCCGCCCGAACGCCGGAGCCACA